rnacentral:rRNA from 1 species
AUCAACGCUAAUCGGAUCAGGGUCAGUCGGGUCCUAAGGCUCAGCCGAACGGCGAGGCCGAUGGCAGAACCGGUUAAUAUUCCGGUACUACCUGUGGGAGUGACGUGGAGACGGAGUCGUGACAGCGCCGCGGACUGACGGAAUAGUCCGUUGAAGGGUGUAGAUGUUGAUUAUCCCAGGCAAAUCCGGGAUAAGAGUCGAACCUGAUAGUAUGGAGCGUUCUUCGGAACAAUCCAAUAGUGCGUGUAAUCAUACUCCCAAGAAAAUCCGCUAAACUUAAUCCUUGAGGUACCCGUACCGCAAACGGACACACGUAGUCGGGUUGAAUAUACUAAGGCGCUUGAGUGAUUCACGGUUAAGGAACUAGGCAAAUUGACCCUGUAACUUCGGGAUAAAGGGUCCCAACGAGAGUUGGGCGCAGAGAAUAGGUCCAGGCAACUGUUUAACAAAAACACAGGGCUGUGCCAAAUUGAAAGAUUACGUAUACAGCCUGACACCUGCCCGGUGCUGGAAGGUUAAGAGGAGAUGUCAUCGCAAGAGAAGCAUUGAAUUGAAGCCCCAGUAAACGGCGGCCGUAACUAUAACGGUCCUAAGGUAGCGAAAUUCCUUGUCGGGUAAGUUCCGACCUGCACGAAUGGUGUAAUGAUCUGGACACUGUCUCAACCGUGAGCUCAGUGAAAUUGUAGUAUCGGUGAAGAUGCCGAUUACCCGCGAUGGGACGAAAAGACCCCGUGAACCUUUACUAUAGCUUAACAUUGAAUUUGGGUAAUUGAUGUGUAGGAUAGGCCGGAGGCUUUGAAGCGGGCACGCCAGUGUCCGUGGAGCCGCUGUUGAAAUACGGCCCUUUGAUUAUUUGAGUUCUAACCCGUUGAUGCGGGGACACUGUUUGGUGGGUAGUUUGACUGGGGUGGUCGCCUCCAAAAGUGUAACGGAGGCUUCUAAAGGUGCCCUCAGGACGAUUGGUAACCGUCCGCAGAGUGUAAUGGCAUAAGGGCGCUUGACUGGGAGACUUACAAGUCGAUCAGGUAGGAAACUAGAGCAUAGUGAUCCGGUGUUUCUGUAUGGAAAGGACAUCGCUCAAAGGAUAAAAGGUACUCCGGGGAUAACAGGCUGAUCCCUCCCA